AACGAACGCUGGCGGCAUGCCUAACACAUGCAAGUCGAACGAGACCUUCGGGUCUAGUGGCGCACGGGUGCGUAACGCGUGGGAAUCUGCCCUUGGGUUCGGAAUAACAGUUGGAAACGACUGCUAAUACCGGAUGAUGACGUAAGUCCAAAGAUUUAUCGCCCAAGGAUGAGCCCGCGUAGGAUUAGCUAGUUGGUGAGGUAAAGGCUCACCAAGGCGACGAUCCUUAGCUGGUCUGAGAGGAUGAUCAGCCACACUGGGACUGAGACACGGCCCAGACUCCUACGGGAGGCAGCAGUGGGGAAUAUUGGACAAUGGGCGAGAGCCUGAUCCAGCAAUGCCGCGUGAGUGAUGAAGGCCUUAGGGUUGUAAAGCUCUUUUACCCGGGAUGAUAAUGACAGUACCGGGAGAAUAAGCUCCGGCUAACUCCGUG
rnacentral:rRNA from 1 species